GUUUAUCAUGGACUUUGGGGCACUGGAUUUCGGUUUUUUGACAUAUUGUCACUGGUGGUUUGGGUGCUCCGUUGAAUUUUGUGCCCCAGGAAACAGCACUUUUCCAAGCUUGACAAAGAAAAGCCUUGGGGAAAUAAAACUUGGAUGUGAUGAAACGCACGCAGCCCAACAACUGGAGAAGCUCCUUUCUUGUCUCCAAGCCUCAGGCUUGAGAAGUGGCACUGAAGACCCCUGAACAGACAAGACGGAAUCUGACCGUGGUGUUCUCUGAAUGAGGUAAUCAGCCUGUGAUGAGCAAAG